rnacentral:tRNA from 1 species
GGGCUGUAGUUAAUUAUAACAUUUGGGUUGCAUUCAAAAAGUAUUGAUUUUGAUCAAUCAGCCUUA